GACGAACGCUGGCGGCGUGCUUAACACAUGCAAGUCGAACGGAAAGGCCCUGCUUGCAGGGUACUCGAGUGGCGAACGGGUGAGUAACACGUGGGUGAUCUGCCCUGCACUUCGGGAUAAGCCUGGGAAACUGGGUCUAAUACCGGAUAGGAGCCAUUUUUAGUGUGAUGGUUGGAAAGUUUUUUCGGUGUAGGAUGAGCUCGCGGCCUAUCAGCUUGUUGGUGGGGUAAUGGCCUACCAAGGCAGCGACGGGUAGCCGGCCUGAGAGGGUGGACGGCCACAUUGGGACUGAGGUACGGCCCAGACUCCUACGGGAGGCAGCAGUGGGGAAUAUUGCACAAUGGGCGCAAGCCUGAUGCAGCGACGCCGCGUGGGGGAUGACGGCCUUCGGGUUGUAAACUCCUUUCGCUAGGGACGAAGCUUUUUGUGACGGUACCUAGAUAAGAAGCACCGGCUAACUACGUG
rnacentral:rRNA from 1 species